rnacentral:ncRNA from 1 species
CCCGGGCUUGCCGGGCCGCGUGAGCGGAUAAGCAAGAAGCGGAUUUGUCGGAUAGUGCCGCUUUUCAUCAAAACACCGACUGUC